ensembl:lncRNA
CAAAGUUUAUAUUUGAAUCUUAUUUAUUUUUAUUUGUAAGAAAUGAGAGAGGCCCUGCCCUCUGGGCCUCUGUCAGAUCAUAAAACCUAAAAGCAGAGUCAGAUUUCAUUGUAGCAGCAGCUAGACCUGUACAGCAAAGCAGAAGAAAACAAAGCUCUGCUCUUACUGGAUGAGUUUCUAUGUGAAGCCUUUAAAUCCUGGAGACCAUUUAGCAAAAAUUAGCUUAAAAGGACAGUAAUUUUUCAAUAAAAUGUUUUCAAUUAUUUUAGUUAUUUUAGUUUAAUGUUUCUAUGAAAGUAAAUCAUCUGUGAGAGUAAAUGAAGAAAAGAGAGGAGAAGAGAGAAUUAGAAAGUAGAAGAGGGGCGAAGAAAAGCGAAGAGCAGAGAAAAGAGAAGAGAAGAGAAGAGAAGAGAAGAGAAGAGAAGAGAAGAGAAGAGAAGAGAAGAGAAGAGAAGAGAAGAGAAGAGAAGAGAAGAGAAGAGAAGAGAAGAGAAGAGAAGAGAAGAGAAGAGAAGAGAAGAGAAGAGAAGAGAAGAGAAGAGAAGAGAAGAGAAGAGAAGAACUUGCUGGUGAUAUUGAGAUCUCCUAUCCUUCGAAGGGAUGAGACUACGUCCUUUGGCAAAUCCUGCAUGAUAUUCUAGCUGCCAGAAGAUCAGGUUUGCAACAGCUCCUCUUCAGUUCUGUAAGUUAAGCAGAUAAUAAAAGUGUUUUGUUGCAUCUUUGGUGGGGAGAGAAGUAAGAGCUGGUUGGGCAGAUAUAGAGAGAAACAAGAGCCUAAUGCUGCCAGUUACAUUAAUUGCAAUAAGCAAGAGAAGGAAGUGAGUUUGUCCAGAUGAAGGGAAUGAGAACACUGAUAUCCAUGCUACUCUGGGGGUAUGCUGGGAGAGAUCUGCUAGAACCAAGUACUGGAAGCCAAUAUCCAUCCUUCACUGAUUUCAACACUGUUUGAACUGCAUUGGCCUUUUUGGCCACAAACUAUUUUUAGAAACAAAGUCUACAUUUUCCCCUGUGCUUCAUUGUUUGUAAAACAACCUUGGAAACUCGAUUAAAAAAAACAACAAACAAACAAACAAACAAACAAACAAAAAACAAAAAACAAAAAAAGCAGCCUUACCAUAUUUUUUCUCAUCCAUUUGACAAAUUUUGCUUUUCUGCCUUGUUGUUUCCCACAGAGCUGCAGCCAGCAUGGCUUUCCAACUUGUGGAUUUCCUUCUGCCACAGUUUUUAACGUGGUCCAUAAAUAUAAGCCCUGCUCUGGAGAUUUGGCACAACUGAUCAUGCUCUCUCUACUGCCUUCCUGUCUUUCUGCAAGAGCAAAGUAAACUCAAGGCUGAAUGAGGAUCCGCAUCCUGCAGCUGGUCUUUGCUUGUUGUAGCUGCACUGAAAAUGGUUUUAAAUACUGCAUGCUGUUCUCUUACAUUUUUACCAGUUCUGAGUGUCCAUUGCUUGAUAAGCCUUUGUGGUCUCCUUGGGGGUUGACAGAAAUAACUUUUGACAGAGGAUCAAUGUGAACAGAUGAGAACUUGUGCUGAUCAGAAGGUGCACAGGUGCCUACCCAGAGGGAUGAUCACACAGAGGUCUCUAUCAGAUGGAUAUCACAGACUGCAAUUAUGUAGGAGAGCAGACAUUGAAAGUCCUCCCUCAUCUUGCUACACGUUGUUAAGGUUUUUGGUUUUCAUUGCAUUUUCAUUGCUAGGGAGAACAUAGUUGAAGCAGUGUUGCUUUUGCCUGAUGGUGGACCAUGUACUGAAAGACAAAGAUCCUGCGUCUGUGACAUUGAAACUAGAUGAUCAUUAUUGUCCUUUUCAACUCAGGCCAUUCUAUGAUUCUGUGACAUCCUAAAAACAUGCUGCCCAGGGAAGAGGUGGAGUCACCAUCUCUGGAGGUGUUCAAGGAAUGCAGAGAUGCGGCACUGAGGGACAUGAGGUGCUAAGGAGCUUUCCAAGCUGUGGUGAAGAAAGGCAAGCAGAAGUGAUGCUCUCAAGGUUUUGAGGCUUCAAAGAUCAACUCUGCCCUCAGACAUUCCCAAGAAACCAAGGUGAACCCAGCCAAACCAAGAGCUGCCACCAAGACUGAGAAGAAGCCUUCAGUUCAGAAAUGGGAAAUACUCUCCUCAAAAGGCAAGUGGGGAAGCUCAGCCUGCCAGAUGGCAGAACCCCCUUAACCGCUCACCCCGAGCCAAAAUUUGCAACAGCAGUGUUUGCAAAUGAGAGGCCCCUGGUCUCAAAUGCGUGUGAACUCCAUGUGCAAUUGUGCCACUGAAUUUUGUGGGGGUCAGUGGCAGUCGAACUCAUGUAAUAAAGGCUAGAAACUGGCUCUGAAACUCAGUCCUCCCUCUGCUGUGCUCUCAGACAUCUGGCCAGACACCACUGCUUUCUUGUGCUACAUCCAUGCAAAAAUAUUUUGGACAAGAUGGAAAUGACUAUUGUCAGAGGCAAGGGCUAAUCUGUGAAGGAAAGUGUCAAAAAAUCCCCAGCACAGAGCAUGGGGAAUACACAUAGUCCUUAUAGUUUUGAAAGAGAUGUACAGACUCUGCAGUCAACAGUUCAUGGGCUCCAUCACUUUGAAUGAUUGAUAGACUGGUUGGCUAAGGAAAGCCUGGAUCAGGGCUCAGAUCCACACCUCUCAGUGUAUUGCAAGACCCAUGCUCAGGGCAGAUCUCCCUGGAAUUCACCAUACCAAUGGAGAUUUUAUAUUCAUUUGACAGUUUUUGUCUUUCUCUGGCUGCACGAAGGGCACUCAUAUCAUGGAUCUGCAGAUGAUCAAGUGAAAAUGAAAGUUGCAACUCACACCAUUUGCUCUGCUGGUGGAGUCACCCAGCGGCAGCAGGUCUGGGAGCCUGGCAUCCUGCAUAGAAAUCAGUGAAGGUCACCAGAGUAGUGUCACCUUCAGGUCUUAGGACUUUUUGGUUAAAAACAGCUUAAAGCCACUGUUGACCUGUGCUGUGUUUGAGUCAGUGACCAAGAGAUGAAAGACUUUCUAUCCUAUUUCUAGUCCUUUAACUUGCUCUGCUGUAACAAUAAAUAUCCCCCAAAUAUCUUGGAACUCCCAGAAAUAUAGCCUUAAAAUAAACUUAUAUCACAGGCUAGUAAUUACUGAAUGUUUUGCAUUGUUUCUCCUCUGGGAGAUAUAUAUCCCUCAGGAAAUGAGUUUCUAAUUGGGCAGAAUAGGAGAAACAGGGCAGCAACAACAGUGUAGGAAAGCUGAAUUAAUAAAAGCUUCUAGAUACCCUCUGGCCACCCUGCACAGAGAAAUGACAAAUGACAUACCUGGAUGAGGGCAUUUUAACUUUGGGACUCCUUGGGAGGUGCCUGAACCAGGAAGAGAUGAAGAGAGGAUAGAAGCAAAAAUGCUAUUAGAGACCUGGUAAAAAUUUACAUGAAGUGGUGCACAGCGAUGCUUACAAAAAAAAAAAACAAACCAGAACAACAAAAAACCCUUGACCAUGUUACUGACAGUACCUGUGAAGAAACUCAGCUACUAAUUUUUUUGCUUAGAUUAAGAAAAUACAUAUACCCAUCCUCUUUCCUGAGGUGCUAACGAGCUUAUUUCAGGUCCAACAUUCCUUUUAUGUACGGAGUACUGGGAGUCUGGAUCCUGUUGACCGUGCCUACCCAUUCAUAGAAAGGUUGGGCUGAGCCAUUCUCAAGCACUCUAUGGCUCAAAGAGACCAACACCAAUGAGG